UGCAGGGCUGUUAUGAUGGGGUGAGGUUACUUUAAGUGGUACGAAGGCCCAAGACAACAGAGUCAUCCCUGCCAGGAGUCACUGUGCCGGCUGCCACUACCAUCACUUGCAACGCAGGCUGCAAGUCUGUCAUGAUGGGAGGUUCUGCAACUGUCCUGAGUCAUAAGGGGACCUUGGAGAUGGAGUCCCAUUUUCACAUGGUGGAAGAGAAAGAAAGAGGAGCUUGGAAACCUGGCACACUUGCAGCCUUCAUGCCGGCUUUCACGACUCAUCUCCAGAUAAGAUUCAUGUGGUAACGAAUCCCUUGAGUUUCAGGCAAUGAAAUGUAACCUUACCCACAGCCAAUCUGACGGAUAACAAUAUAAACUGACAGUGGAUCAAAAAAAAAUUCAAAUAUAUUAAAAGAUGUUCUAUACCAUUCACAGUGUAAAUACACAUUAACAACAGUGAAAUCAUUCUUUUUAAUUUUUAAAGUCGGAAACUAAAAAAAAUUGGAAAUCACUGUGUUGGCAAAAUUAGGAACACUUUAACAUUUUGCUGAUGGGAAUGGUAAAACGUCCAGGGUGAGCCAUCUAGAAAAUACCAGAUUGCGUUUACCCAUUCUACUUUUAAGUUUUUGACUUCCUGAUUUCCACUUAUUCAUCAAGUGUAAAAUGACGGUCCCAAUUCAUUGCAGUGUUGUUUAUAAUAGCAAAAUAUCGCAAACAGCCUACACACCCACAACAGGGAACUGGUCAAAUGCAUUCAGUGAGUCAGAGCAGCAGAAUUCUACACAACCGUACAAAGAAUGGUCCUUUGUGCGUGCGCAUGGAAACAUCUCUGGGGUCCACAGUUAAAAAGGUAGACUGUGCUACCAUUUAGUAAAAAGGAAGGAGAGGAUGCCUCUGGUGCCCCUGCUAGCUUGUCUAGGGGUGCAGCGUCUCUAGGAGAUGUAAAACUGGUCGCCAUCUGUGGAAGGUGGGGCCUUGUGCGAACUUGCAGUGAGUCUCUCAUCAGAAAGGGCAUAGAAAUCGAAAGCCCCUGGCUGCCUGGACGCUGUGGAUUUGGGAGGGAGGAGACAGACAUUAAAACGUUUUCAGGAAGAUGAGAUCUUUGAAAUCAAGUUAGAAUCAGGCAAGAGAAUGAGUAACUGCUGAGUUCAAGAGCAGACAGAAAAAUUACAUCAUUUAGGAAGAGCAAACCAGCCCCACAUUUCCACAACUUGGGUGUUCAAGGCACGUCCUCUCGAAGAACCCAGGGUGGCCCCGAGGCUGGUGUUCCACAAAGCAUCGGUUUCUCCACCGUGACUUUGAGAAACAGAACCAACCAACUUGUUUUGUGGUAAAACCGGUCCCAUGAGAAACAUCUUAUAAAUAGACGUUAGACACAUGUCCACAUCCAGUUAGGUUCCUGGAGCCUCUGCGUGUAUUUGCAAGACGCAGAAGCCCUUAGACGCCUGCCGUGGCACAAAACUAAGGAAAACAACCAACCAAAGGUGAAUCUUACAGCGCAGGCUCCCAGGCUUCGAUCUCAUCUGGGCUGGGGACUCGCUCCUGCGCUCCUGGUGCGCAGACGGGCAUCAGCGUCUGGGCUGUCAUACUCCCCAGGUCUCCAUGGACACAGGCCGUCAUGCCGGUGGCUGAAAGCGAGAGCGAGGCUCGUCCACCUGGAAAUGGGACCUCAGACCUCGCUCACUCACCUUAACGCACAAUCAGGGCGCCGUCAGUUACUCUCAAAAGCGGGGCUCUGAGGACCCUGUGGAGGGAGGUCAGUGCGCUGCACCGGGGGCCCGUUGCACCACAAGCCUAGCGGGCAGCUGAAGGCGUCUGGAGGCGGUGGAGUACUAAGUGGAACUGCCGUGUCAAUGCGUUCUGAGCGUGUGUGAGUGUCCGGCAGCCUCCACCCCUUCCUUCUCCAGCAGCACCGUCCCGUGGGGCGCGUGCUCUGGAAAGUGAUGGAAAGUUCAACAGCUUUUUAAUCUGGGCUGUGCAGCACAGAAGCCACUAGCCACCCGUGUUGCUACUGUAGCUGAAAAACAAUCUCAAAUUUGACUUAAUUUUAAUUAACAAUGUAAAUAUAAAUAGCCAUAAUACGGUAAUGGUUACUGUGUUAGCCAGUUCAGUUUUAGAGAAUAAAAAUCUUUUUAAGGGAUUGCUGGAUAAAGGGACCGAAGUGUUUCGAUGCCUAACUGUGCCUAGAGGCUCAUUUGGAGGCACCAUUUGUAUGUUAAGGAUCAGAGACCUUGACGUGUGUUAGAAGCCCCUCUGGAGAUACGUAACCCCAUCUAAGUCCGAGCAGUACAGAUCAUUUCCCACCCUGGGGUAGUUUCUUCCUCCCCCUGACCUCCAAAACCACAUGAAAACGUGAGAUUUGUGAAAAUGAACACAGGGACGCCUCCCCGGCACGGUCAAUGCUGUUUCAGCAGCUUCCCUGUCCAGCAGGAGGGACAGUGUCUGCCUCCCCUGCAGCAGCCCAGCCAGGUAGGGACCGUCACACCUCGGCCAGUGCACAGCCAGCACUCAUGGGACACAUUUCCCCCGUGGGACCCAUUUCCCCCGUGGGAGUCUUUGCUCAGCGCCGCGCCCACCUGCUCCUUCCCGCUGUGUGCGCCGCCUCUGCUCUUUUCUCCAGACUCGCCCGGGUCUGCCCUGGAGUGCCUGUCCGGAUGGCCAUGCUCUGCUGGUCCCCAAUGAGCCUGUUUUUGCUGGUAAGGUAACUGACAGUUUUGUUGUUAAGGUUAACGAUGCAGGAGAACUCGGGGAUUCCGAAGCAUCGCAGAGCAGCUGAGUGGCAGCACCUCCUGUCCCACAGUCUAAGCCUGUCUUACCUUGACGUUCCCCACGACCCUCAGCCUGUGACAGAGUGAACUUGUGACUCCCACAGCUGCAAGGACAGCAAUCAGAUGGUCAGCCGGCUGUGGCCUUCAUGAACAUUGUUCUCAGCAGAUUGGUUUGGGGUUUGUAGAGAAAAAACGGGUAGCCUGGCCCUCUAACUGGACAUGAGAUGCCGGCUGUGGUUCAGGCAUGUGUCUCCCGCCCACCAGGAGCAAGGUCGGCCCCCGAGAUGGCCAGUGGAAGGCGGGAUCACCUGUUCCCAAGCACUCACGGGUGCAACGAGACGAAGGAAGAAGUGCUUUGGGUGAAACAAUUCUCCUAUAAAUUGUAUCACAAAAGCACAUUCAAACUCCCCAACGGCAGACAGAGCACGAAGGCGGAUGCCUGGCAGCAAGCUCACUCUGCGGCACAGGCUGGCACCCACCCCAGCUGCCCUAAUUUGGGACCCUUCUUUUCUCCUUCCUUUCUAAGGCUCAGGAAGAAGCUCGCUUAGGAACCGGCCCUGACUGAGAAUCCUGGUUCCGGGCAGGGAGGAUUCUGUAGGUUUUUGGAAUGGUGCUGGGUGUCCAGUGGAUAUUCCAUGAACAAGUGUCCUCGUCUGGAAGUGGUAUAUCCUUGUCCACUCUCCUUAGACUCCUGUCUGAGAAGCCACUGAGGUUUUUGAUUUUUGCCUUUUCUGUCACGUUUGUUAUAGUUGUAUUUCGACCUUAUCAGGGUCUGGAUAUAAUAAAAGCAUGGCUGAGUCAGAGGGAGAAAAAGGCUUAAGUGAUUCCAUUUAG